UAGGGAAUCUUCCGCAAUGGACGCAAGUCUGACGGAGCAACGCCGCGUGAGUGAAGAAGGAUUUCGGUUCGUAAAACUCUGUUGUUAGAGAAGAACAGCGCAUAGAGUAACUGUUAUGCGUGUGACGGUAUCUAACCAGAAAGCCACGGCUAACUACGUGCCAGCAGCCGCGGUAAUACGUAGGUGGCAAGCGUUGUCCGGAUUUAUUGGGCGUAACGCGAGCGCAGGCGGUCAAUUAAGUCUAAUGUGAAAGCCCCCGGCUCAACCGGGGAGGGUCAUUGGAAACUGGUUGACUUGAGUGCAGAAGAGGAGAGUGGAAUUCCAUGUGUAGCGGUGAAAUGCGUAGAUAUAUGGAGGAACACCAGUGGCGAAGGCGACUCUCUGGUCUGUAACUGACGCUGAGGCUCGAAAGCGUGGGUAGCAAACAGG
rnacentral:rRNA from 1 species